AUAAGAGGAUCAGAUGCUCAAGAAUUGCAACCACUCUCAGAGAAAAAUAAGACACCUAUUGCUCUUUCUGACGCUGCAGACAAACAAAUGAAAAUGGCCUCCAAUCUUCCACAAGAAAACAUUAUAUCGGACUACAUGAUAGGAGAAAAG